rnacentral:rRNA from 1 species
AUUGAACGCUGGCGGAAUGCUUUACACAUGCAAGUCGAACGGCAGCACGGGGGCAACCCUGGUGGCGAGUGGCGAACGGGUGAGUAAUGUAUCGGAACGUGCCCAGUCGUGGGGGAUAACGUAGUGAAAAUUACGCUAAUACGGCAUACGAUCUACGGAUGAAAGAGGGGGAUCGCAAGACCUCGAGCGCUUGGAGCGGGCGAUAUCAGAUUAGGUAGUUGGUGGGGUAAAGGCUCACCAAGCCAACGAUCUGUAGCUGGUCUGAGAGGACGACCGGCCACACUGGAACUGAGACACGGUCCAGACUCCUACGGGAGGCAGCAGUGGGGAAUUUUGGACAAUGGGCGAAAGCCUGGUCCAGCCAUUCCGCGUGCAGGAUGAAGGCCUUCGGGUUGUAAACUGCUUUUGUACGGAGCGAAAAGGCUCUCUCUAAUACAGGGGGCUCAUGACGGUACCGUAAGAAUAAGCACCGGCUAACUACGUGCCAGCCGCCGCGGUAA